rnacentral:rRNA from 1 species
AUGAAGAAAGAAGCAGCAGUAGGAGCGAACCAUGUCCAAGCGCCCAAGAAACAAGUCAGGUUUCAGGACAACCAUGCCAAUCCUAUCAAGAAAGAUGACGUGAACACAGAUGUGGAUUCGGUGGCUUCGGACUUCAUCAAGCGUAAGCACAUGUCUUGGGCACUCCAGAAGAGCACAACCAUGUAUCCAUCUUCUUAA